UAUUCGGAAAUGUAGGGUGG
rnacentral:miRNA from 1 species